UACGUAGGGGGCAAGCGUUGUCCGGAAUUAUUGGGCGUAAAGAGCUCGUAGGCGGUCUGUUGCGUCCGCUGUGAAAACUCGGGGCUUAACCCCGAGCCUGCAGUGGAUACGGGCAGACUAGAGGUAGGUAGGGGAGAAUGGAAUUCCCGGUGUAGCGGUGAAAUGCGCAGAUAUCGGGAGGAACACCGGUGGCGAAGGCGGUUCUCUGGGCCUUACCUGACGCUGAGGCGCGACAGCGUGGGGAGCAAACAGG
rnacentral:rRNA from 1 species